rnacentral:rRNA from 1 species
AGUGGCGGACGGGUGAGUAACGCGUGAGAAUCUGCCUUCAGGUCGGGGACAACAGAGGGAAACUUCUGCUAAUCCCGGAUGAGCCUUAGGGUAAAAAAUUUAUUGCCUGGAGAUGAGCUCGCGUCUGAUUAGCUAGUUGGUAAGGUAAAAGCUUACCAAGGCAACGAUCAGUAGCUGGUCUGAGAGGAUGAGCAGCCACACUGGGACUGAGACACGGCCCAGACUCCUACGGGAGGCAGCAGUGGGGAAUUUUCCGCAAUGGGCGAAAGCCUGACGGAGCAAGACCGCGUGGGGGAGGAAGGCUCUAGGGUUGUAAACCCCUUUUCUUUGGGAAGAACAAAAUGACGGUACCAAAGGAAUCAGCCUCGGCUAACUCCGUGCCAGCAGCCGCGGUAAUACGGAGGAGGCAAGCGUUAUCCGGAAUGAUUGGGCGUAAAGCGUCCGCAGGUGGCAAUGUAAGUCUGCUGUCAAAACCCAGGGCUCAACUCUGGUCAGGCAGUGGAAACUACAUAGCUAGAGUUCGGUACGGGCAAAGGGAAUUCCCGGUGUAGCGGUGAAAUGCGUAGAGAUCGGGAAGAACAUCGGUGGCGAAAGCGCUUUGCUAGACCGAAACUGACACUCAGGGACGAAAGCUAGGGGAGCGAAUGGGAUUAGAUACCCC